UACGGGGGGAGCAAGCGUUGUUCGGAUUUACUGGGCGUAAAGGGCGCGUAGGCGGCACCGCAAGUCGACUGUGAAAUCUCCGGGCUUAACCCGGAGAGGUCAGCCGAUACUGCGGGGCUAGAGUGCAGAAGGGGCAACUGGAAUUCUCGGUGUAGCGGUGAAAUGCGUAGAUAUCGAGAGGAACACCUGCGGCGAAGGCGGGUUGCUGGGCUGACACUGACGCUGAUGCGCGAAAGCUAGGGGAGCGAACGGG
rnacentral:rRNA from 1 species